rnacentral:rRNA from 1 species
GACGAACGCUGGCGGCGUGCCUAAUACAUGCAAGUAGAACGCACAGUUUAUACCGUAGCUUGCUACACCAUAGACUGUGAGUUGCGAACGGGUGAGUAACGCGUAGGUAACCUGCCUGGUAGCGGGGGAUAACUAUUGGAAACGAUAGCUAAUACCGCAUAAUAUUAAUUAUUGCAUGAUAAUUAAUUGAAAGGUGCAGUUGCACCACUACCAGAUGGACCUGCGUUGUAUUAGCUAGUAGGUGAGGUAACGGCUCACCUAGGCGACGAUACAUAGCCGACCUGAGAGGGUGAUCGGCCACACUGGGACUGAGACACGGCCCAGACUCCUACGGGAGGCAGCAGGAGGGAAUCUUCGGCAAUGGACGAAAGUCUGACCGAGCAACGCCGCGUGAGUGAAGAAGGUUUUCGGAUCGUAAAGCUCUGUUGUAAGAGAAGAACGGGUGUGAGAGUGGAAAGUUCACACUGUGACGGUAUCUUACCAGAAAGGGACGGCUAACUACGUG